rnacentral:rRNA from 1 species
AGCAGCCGCGGUAAUUCCAGCUCCAAUAGCGUAUAUUAAAGUUGUUGCAGUUAAAAAGCUCGUAGUUGAAUUUCGGGAUCAAAUUGUCGGUCGUGCCUCGGUACGCACUGGUAUUAUUGGUUCCUACCUUCUGAAGAACCGCGAUGUCAUUAAUUUGGUGUCGUGGGGAAUCAGGACUGUUACUUUGAAAAAAUUAGAGUGUUUAAAGCAGGCUUACGCUUGAAUACAUUAGCAUGGAAUAAUGAAAUAGGACGUUUGAUUCUAUUUUGUUGGUUUCUAGGAUUGACGUAAUGAUUAAUAGGGAUAGUUGGGGGCAUCAGUAUUCAAUUGUCAGAGGUGAAAUUCUUGGAUUUAUUGAAGACUAACUACUGCGAAAGCAUUUGCCAAGGAUGUUUUCAUUAAUCAAGAACGAAAGUUAGGGGAUCGAAGACGAUCAGAUACCGUCGUAGUCUUAACCAUAAACUAUGCCGACAAGGGAUCGGAUGAUGUUAAUUUUUUAAUGUACUCAUUCGGCGCCUUA